CCUUGUCUUAACCUGAAAAAUAAUGACUCGGCUGUAAUUAGAAAUCUGGUGAGAGUUUAAAAAUUCUGGUAGGGGACCAAAAACAUCAGUUACGGUGCUUAGGAAGAAAAUGAAGAAUUAUUUUUCUGAAAUCAAGAUGGAUCUGAGAACGCUGUCUGGGCUUGGUACCAAGAGCUGGUAUUUCACAGCAGCGACCGCCUCACAGACGAGCUGUGGGAAGCAGGAGGGAGACUCUCUCUUAGGGUGCCACUACUAUGGAGACACAGCUGGGCUGAACAAGAUUUGCUUCAAACGACAACAAGAGAGACAGAAAGUAUCUGGUUCAACCGCUGCCCGAGCAGGCAGGCACCAGAAGAGCUAGCAGCCAAUCCGGCCAUGCUCGAAGCCAGCUCUGCAGCUCAGCCAAUCAGUGACAUCAUUGGUGAGAAACUCAUUUACAUCAUGCAGUAAUGAACUUUGUUUAACAUAGACUUCCCCCUUUCCUGUCACCCCCCCCCCUUUCCAUAUUAGGUCCUUCCAUUAAUUAUUCUGCUGGCAUAAUUUAA
rnacentral:lncRNA from 1 species